rnacentral:rRNA from 1 species
UACAGAGGUCUCAAGCGUUGUUUCGGAAUUCAUUGGGCGUAAAGGGUGGCGUAGGCGGCGCGGUAAGUCGGGUGUGGAAAUCAUCGGAGCUUAACUCCGAAACUGCAUUCGUAUACUGCCGUGCUUGAGGACUGGAGAGGAGACUGGAAUUUACGGUGUAGCGGUGAAAUGCGUAGAUAUCGUAAGGAAGACCAGUGGCGAAGGCGGGUCUCUGGACAGUUCCUGACGCUGAGGCACGAAGGUCAGGGGAGCAAACGGG